rnacentral:rRNA from 1 species
ACGCUGGCGGCAUGCCUUACACAUGCAAGNCGAACGGCAGCACGGGAGCAAUCCUGGUGGCGAGNGGCGAACGGGNGAGNAAUAUAUCGGAACGUGCCCAGUCGUGGGGGAUAACGCAGCGAAAGCUGUGCUAAUACCGCAUACGAUCUACGGAUGAAAGCGGGGGAUCGCAAGACCUCGCGCGAUUGGAGCGGCCGAUAUCAGAUUAGCUAGUUGGUGAGGUAAAGGCUCACCAAGGCGACGAUCUGUAGCUGGUCUGAGAGGACGACCAGCCACACUGGAACUGAGACACGGUCCAGACUCCUACGGGAGGCAGCAGUGGGGAAUUUUGGACAAUGGGCGCAAGCCUGAUCCAGCAAUGCCGCGUGCAGGAUGAAGGCCUUCGGGUUGUAAACUGCUUUUGUACGGAGCGAAAAGGCUUCUCCUAAUACGGGGGGCUCAUGACGGUACCGUAAGAAUAAGCACCGGCUAACUACGUGCCAGCAGCCGCGGUAAUAC